GUUGCAAUAACCAAUAAUCCCUAUCAGGGAUUGAAAC
rnacentral:other from 2 species